rnacentral:misc_RNA from 1 species
UGAAUUUUACACAUGUCAUAUUUGACACCCAACUGUGGCAUUCUGUGGGGCCUUGUAUUGGACGACGUUCACACGUCUUGUGGAGUUUUACUCCAAAGGAGGUGCGGCCAUCGUCCAAACAACACUAUCAACCAACUUUUAUUACGAUUGGAUUACUCUAUGGUGGGCACAGUCACAAAAACUGA